rnacentral:misc_RNA from 1 species
GCAAGAUAUACAGAAAAAAGAAAAAAUCAAUUUCAAAGUUGAGAAAUUUUUCCAGCAAACAGUGCAAAACUGCACGUUGAAUUUUUAAUAUUCAAGAAGAUGAACAAGAACCCAAAAUUGUCAAUCCUAUAUGAUGAGGUAGAGCUGAACUCCUCAUACAGAGAAAGGAAAUAAAAACACAUUACAAGGUCAGCUUGUAAAUCAGCCCUCUAAACAAAGCAAAUCAACCCCACUAUGAAUCAAAACUAGCACUACAACUAGUGGUGGGUGCUUGAAGCCAGCGCCCCCACUCAUCACAAGCAACAAAGAAGCAGAUAAUGAAAAAAAAAAAAAAGAGAAGCAGCUUGUAAAUCGUUCUACAGAGGGGAAAAUGAAGAAGAAGAAGAAGGAAAUCUGAGCAUGAAGUAUAAUAUAGAACUAGAAAAAACCUGGUGCUAUAUACCCCACUGUGGCAAGAGUGUUUGUAUGUAUCAUCUGCUCCUCUUUACCUAGGAGUUUUGCAAGCCCAAAAUCACUUACAUGUGCAACCAUAUCCUCAUCUAGCAAGAUAUUGCUGGGCUUCAGAUCGCAGUGUAUUACAGGAGCAGGUUGAUGAUGAUGAAGAUACUCCAAUGCGGAUGCAACAUCUAUCAUGAUGUCUAGUCUCUGCUGGAUAUCCAAAAAAUAAUUGUAAGAAUACAACCAUUUUUCUAAGCUUCCAUUAGGCAUGUAAUCGAGUAUUAAGGCUUUGAAAUCGUUGCUGGAGCAACUGUUGAUGAUUUUGGCAAGAUUUCUGUGACGAAAAUUGCUCAUCACUGCACAUUCAGCAUCAAAACUCCUCCAGACCUCAUUUUGUUGCAAAUUGAAAACCUUUAUAGCAACAUUCAUUCCAUCCGAAAGUGUUCCUUUAUAAACAGAACCAAAACUUCCCCUUCCAAGCAGGUUGCUUUGAUCAAAUCCAUUAGUUGCUUGCGAAAGUUCUAGGUAUGAGAUUUUUCUCCAUGUCAUGGACAGAGGAAAUAAAUUUGCUUCUACCGAAGAUCUUCUAUUCCUGUCUUGGCAUCCGGUCAAUGCAAAAAUGAUAACCAAAAGAAGUAGUACUGCUAAUGCUCCGAUGGGCAAAAUAUAAUUCAGUAGAUGCAUAAUUUCUCUCGGAUGUUGUUUUCCAUUUCUGCACUGUGGGACUUGCAGACGUGGAGCACCACAAAGAGCAUCAUUCCUCAUGUAUGACUGAGCUGAGAAGUUCAAAAAAGGUCCUUGCGUAGGAAUUGGCCCCCGGAGUCUAUUGCAGGAAACGUUAAAAUAUUUGAGAUAUGAGAUCUUCUCCAGUGACUUCGGUAUCUCUCCUGAGAGAUUGUUGUUGGAAAGAUCCAAAAACUCCAAGCUUAUCAAGCCACCAAAUGAUUCAGGUAUAGACUCUUGCAAUUUGUUAUGUGCCAGGGAGAGGUAAAAAAGAUCUCUGAGGCUUCCGAUGGUGUAUGGAAUGUUACCUGACAAUCGAUUCCUUGAUAUAUCUAGCUUAGUCAUGACCCUCAAAUUUUUUAUUUCUAAUGGAAGGCAACCGCCAAUGAAGUUCGAUGACAAGUUCACUUCCAGGAUAUAUGUUAGGCUCCACAGGCUUAACGGUAUGGUGGAAGUAAGCUUGUUGGAGCUCAAGUUUAGAUACCUUAGAGAAGUCAGAUUUGACAAGCACGGAUGUAAAGGUCCAUAGAGCUUAUUCCCUCCCAAUGAUAAUCUGCCCAAAGUUUGUAAUUGGCAAAGAUCAGGCGGUAUUGAUCCUUGUAAUUCAUUGCCUUCAAGACGCAAAACUUGGAGCUUCUGCAUCCUUCCCAGGGUUUUUGGAAUAGGUCCUGUCAGCUCAUUAUUCGAGAGGUUCAACACAAUAAGGUUGCUUAAAUUCCCAAUUUCCAUUGGAAUGCUGCCUUUGAUAUUGCAAAAAUCUGCAUAAAUAAUUUCUAGAGAUGAAGAAAGAUUCCCAAUUUGAGUUGGAAGGAGGCCGUUUAUCGGAUUCUCUGAAAUCCAUAAGUUUUUCAAAUACUUGCAAUUUGUCAAUGAUGCCAGAAAAUUAAUUUCUGAUGUGGAUGAUUCAGUUGUCAGAAAAUUCGCUUUGAAGGCGAGGCUCUGGAGGAGUCUCAAAUUGCCAAGCGCGGCAGGAACAACACCAGAGAAUGAGUUCCAAGACAGAUGCAGGGUAGUAAGCCCAGAAGCAUUAGAGAUGGAGCUGGGAAUUGGUCCAUCAAGUUUAUUUUCCCAUAGAAGAAGUACUUCCAAGUUUGGAAGCCAGCGGCCGACAGUUGGUGGAAGACGGCCUGAAAGAGAGUUUUUUUGCAGUCCAAUGGCUUGUAAUACCGAGUUAUUAAAGAUUGAGAAUGGAAUGGUGCCAGUAAGGUUGUUUGCUCCCAACGACAAGAACCGCAAAUAACGAAGUUGGCCAAUCUCAUCUGGUAUUUCACCUGUGACAAAAUUAAUGCUUAGGAUUUGAUACACCACGACACUUCCAAAUCUCUCAUUGAAAAUUUUGUCAGUGUUUCACAACCCGAGGCAAUUGUAAUAAAGAACAAAUAAAUGAAUAUUAAAUACCAGAUAAGAUUCAACUAAAUUUGGGCUAUGCGGAGGCAGAUCGGGCCUCCUGUCUCCAACUUUAUCUCAGG